GACGAACGCUGGCGGCGUGCCUAACACAUGCAAGUCGAACGAGAUCCAUGGGAGCUUGCUCCCGGAAGAUCUAGUGGCGAAACGGGUGAGUAACACGUGAGAAAACCUGCCCUGGAGUGGGGAAUAACUCGGGGAAACUCGAGCUAAUACCGCAUACCCUCGGAUGGUCGCAUGGCCGACCGAGGAAAAGAUUUAUCGCUCUAGGAGGGUCUCGCGGCCUAUCAGCUAGUUGGUGGGGUAACGGCCUACCAAGGCAACGACGGGUAGCUGGUUUGAGAGAACGAUCAGCCACACUGGGACUGAGACACGGCCCAGACUCCUACGGGAGGCAGCAGUGGGGAAUCUUGCGCAAUGGGCGAAAGCCUGACGCAGCAAACGCCGCGUGCGGGAUG
rnacentral:rRNA from 1 species